ACGCUUCAAUCGAUCGGUGUUUCUGGAAAAGGUGACGAGACGGAUGUAGUAGAAGGUUGAAAGUCGACGAGGAGACAAGAGGCGAGGAAGGGAAAGGUCCGCGUGAGGUGCAUCAAGUAUUUGGAUAAAAGAGAAACACGAGUCUUGGUCACUUGGCGAUACAAAAAACAAGAAUUCUCAGACGUUUUGGAGUCUCCCGCUGAAACACACGUGGAUGAUAAUGAGAGAGAACAAUGCAAUGAGACGAAUUGAUAACGAUGGCUGGUCUUAACUCACGAUAAAAGACAAGGAAAGAUUGGUAAGCUGCAGGCGAAGGAGGUGCGGCCGCCCACUGACUCACUGACCAGAGUGUAGUGGGCGCUGCAGCUCGGGUUGGCCCAGAUCACGAGUAACGACCCGCUGGCUAUCAUAUCCCACAACACCCAUGAACUCUGGUGUGUGUAGUGCUAAAUGGACUUAAAACAAUACAACUUAUGGGAAUGUGCUAAGACGAACUGAAGAAAAUGAUGAAGAUUGCGGUUUUGCAUUUUUCGUACGUAACCUAUGAUCGAAUGAGUUGUAGAUAUAUGUAAAUAGUGUAAAAUAAAAUAGUAUAUAAGACUCACUGCGUUUCCUUGAACCCAUACGUGCCUCUUUGAUAAUUAGGGACGGUAAAGAUCGUGCUGCAUAGAAGCAAGACACUCAUGAGGCGAGGAGAUAACUGACAGAGGGGAAGGAGGAGGAGGAAGAGGAGGAGAGGAGAGGAGAGGAGAGGAGAGGAGAGGAGAGGAGAGGAGAGGAGAGGAGAGGAGAGAAGAGGAGAGGAGAGGAGGAGGAGGAAGAGGAGGAGGAGAACAAGAACAAGAAGAACAAGAAGAAGAAAGAGGGAAGAAGAAGAAGAAGAAGAAGAAGAAGAAGAAGAAGAAGAAGAAGAAGAAGAAGAAGAAGAAGAAGAAGAAGAAGAAGACGGACAGAAAGAUCUAGAAUUUACCAGUGAGAGGGAUGAAAGGGUCAGGAAACUGGUUAACUCUUGCAUUAGUGAGAUAGACGGACUGAACAUGGAUGAACGUAGGUGGAAAGUCUUGUACUCAAAAUAAUAACUAACAAACAAAAAAUCAAUAAAAAGAUACUGCUGUUACUUACUUACUGAUCUUGUUAUGUAGCUGGUAAUUUGAGCCGCAGUUAUUAACCUCCCUCAAUUACUCAGCAAAUCGAUCUCUUGUUAUCUCAAAAUAUCUUCACCUGGCAAUCAUAGCGGUGUUAAGAUUAUGCAAGGUCAUUUUUGUAUUCAACUGAUAAACAUUCCUUUGUUUUGUCUGACUGAAUAACGCAGAGGAAUGAUGGGUCUGUACGUGUAGGGAAAGGGAGGCAAGGCAGACAGACAGGCGGUGGAAGGAAAGGCUGCAUAAGGAACGACUUGAGGGAGACAGACCAGAGUGAAGGGGGUACAGACAGUG